rnacentral:ncRNA from 1 species
UCUGCCCCUCCCGGCGGGGCCUGACAGGCCGGGACGCCCCGGCGCGGAGUGGCCGCGCGCUUACAAAUCAAAUCGAGGGCGGGAAAGGAAAA